rnacentral:rRNA from 1 species
UACGUAGGUGGCGAGCGUUAUCCGGAUUUACUGGGUGUAAAGGGCGUGUAGGCGGAUUGGUAAGUUGGAAGUGAAAUACCGCAGCUUAACUGCGGGGCUGCUUUCAAAACUACCAACCUUGAGUGUCGGAGAGGGAAGCGGAAUUCCUAGUGUAGCGGUGAAAUGCGUAGAUAUUAGGAGGAACACCAGUGGCGAAGGCGGCUUUCUGGCCGACAACUGACGCUGAGGCGCGAAAGCGUGGGGAGCAAACAGGAUUAGAUACC